rnacentral:rRNA from 1 species
UACGUAGGGUGCAAGCGUUGUCCGGAAUUAUUGGGCGUAAAGAGCUCGUAGGCGGUUUGUCGCGUCGAAUGUGAAAACCUGGGGCUUAACUCCGGGCCUGCAGCCGAUACGGGCAGACUAGAGUUCGGCAGGGGAGACUGGAAUUCCUGGUGUAGCGGUGAAAUGCGCAGAUAUCAGGAGGAACACCGGUGGCGAAGGCGGGUCUCUGGGCCGAUACUGACGCUGAGGAGCGAAAGCGUGGGGAGCAAACAGG